AGGGAAGGUCCUAAGACGAAAGAGGACUGGGAAAGACUUCUUGUGGAAAGUAAGAUGUUAGCUGAGACUCGAAGGAAGCCAAGAGGUGGAGAGAUGAGGAAGGAGAGUGUUCCAGGCCCUGGGUACGGCUACAGAAAACAUUUGGAGUCAGGAGAUGGAGUCCUAUGUCUAAGGACCAGCAAGCAUGUAGCCUGGAAAGGCAUAGCUUUCUGAGAAGAAGGAGGUAGAAUUUCUUACAUUGGAAAAUGCAGGUGAUAGAAAAGCAAAAGCCAGGGAUAAGGACUGAUCCUGUUUCACUGAUAUAGCAAAUUCCAGGAUAAGGAAACUUCCUCUACCAAUGCAGAAUCUUGGAAACCACCUCCAUGAUAAACAUCCUCAGCUCACCAUGUUAUAAUUUCCUAAUAAUUUGAAAGAAGAGAAGUCAUCUGAGCCAGGCAGUGAUGAUGUGGGAUAAGUGCUUGGAAUCAAAAAGCAUACUCCUUGGAAGCAGAAACUGUUGUUUGCCUGUCUUUGUAUCUCUAGUGUUCAGCAGACUACCUCACACAGGCAAUGCAUCAGCCAUGAGGAAGAUCACGACCAGAGUUCCCUAAAUGCUGACUUCUUCACAGACAUGGGCAACAGAGUUUUCUCAGGAUGAUGCUUGAAAGUCUCUCAAGAACUCUCUGCAGGAUAUCUCUGUUCUUCACAGAUUAAGAGUUAAACUCAGUUCUGUCAAAAUGUCCCUCCAGUCUUUCUCAGUGUUGUAGUUAACUUACUCAGUCUCUCAGCAAAGAAGCUCUCUUGCUUCUUUCUCUUCCUGGCAAACAGUUUCCAGAUGACAGUAAAAUUAUCUCUUCAAGAUUCUGUUACUUCUCAAAGAUAAAGUAACAAUAACUAGUCUUAACCAGAAAGACUAUGUAAAUUAGAGCUACAUUUAAGAAAAAGUAAAGUCUGUUCUUAAAGACCUUAUGGGGGCAGAGGUGUUAGAGGAAAGCAUAGAUAAGAAAAUACAAAAUAUGACAAAGAUAAACUACAUACAAAGUGUCCAUUUGUCCUUCACUGUUUCCAAAUAAGAAAAGGUUCUAUGGAAGAGGUGUUAUUAAGAGGUGUCAGUUACUCAAAAAGUAUCAAUGAUGCAUUUAAAAGAAUACAAUUCAUCCAAGUUCCUUAGACUUGCAUUCAAGGCCCUACCCAAUUUGGUGCUUUCCUAUCUAAUUUUUUUUUUUUGGUCAGUCAGCCAACAAGCA